AACGAACGCUGGCGGCGUGGAUAAGACAUGCAAGUCGAACGGGACAGACCGAGUAGCAAUAUUUGGAAUGUUCAGUGGCGAACGGGUGCGUAACACGUGGAUAACAUUCCGGAAAGCGGGGAAUAGCCCAGGGAAACUUGGAUUAAUACUGCAUGUGGCCGCAAGGCUAAAGACGGGGACCGCAAGGCCUGUCACUUUCCGAUUGGUCCGCGGCCUAUCAGCUAGUUGGCGGGGUAAUGGCCCACCAAGGCUAAGACGGGUAGCUGGUCUUAGAGGACGACCAGCCAAACUGGAACUGAGACACGGUACAGACACCUACGGGUGCAGCAGUCGAGAAUCUUUCACAAUGGGGGCAACCCUGAUGGAGCGACGCCGCGUGGAGGAUAAGGUCUUCGGAUUGUAAACUCCUGUCAUGCGAGAACAAGGUACUCAGGCUAAUAACCUGAUUGUUUGAUGGUACCGCAAGAGGAAGAGACGGCUAACUCUGUGCCAGCCGCCGCGGUAAGAC
rnacentral:rRNA from 1 species